CAGCAGUCGCCGCGGGAAUACGAAGGGUGCAAGCGUUAAUCGGAAUUACUGGGCGUAAAGCGUGCGUAGGCGGUGAGUUAAGUCUGCUGUGAAAGCCCUGGGCUCAACCUGGGAAUUGCAGUGGAUACUGGGUCACUAGAGUGUGGUAGAGGAUAGUGGAAUUUCCGGUGUAGCAGUGAAAUGCGUAGAGAUCGGAAGGAACAUCUGUGGCGAAGGCGACUAUCUGGGCCAACACUGACACUGAGGCACGAAAGCGUGGGGAGCAAACAGGAUUAGAUACCCGAGUAGUCCCUGUCUCUUAUAC
rnacentral:rRNA from 1 species